GACGAACGCUGGCGGCGUGCCUAACACAUGCAAGUCGAGCGAAGUGAGUACUACGGUACGAACUUAGCGGCGGACGGGUGAGUAACGCGUGGACAAUCUACCCUGUAGACUGGGAUAACACCUCGAAAGGGGUGCUAAUACCGGAUAAUGUCGAGAAGCGGCAUCGCUUUUGGAAGAAAGGAGAGAAUCCGCUAUAGGAGGAGUCCGCGUCCCAUUAGCUAGUUGGUGAGGGUAACGGCCCACCAAGGCGACAGAUGGGUAGCCGGCCGGAGAGGGUGAACGGCCACACUGGAACUGAGACACGGUCCAGACUCCUACGGGAGGCAGCAGUGGGGAAUAUUGUGCAAUGGGGGAAACCCUGACACAGCAACGCCGCGUGAGCGAAGAAGGCCUUCGGGUUGUAAAGCUCAAUAGUAUGGGAAGAUAAUGACGGUACCAUACGAAAGCCCCGGCUAACUACGUGCCAGCCGCCGCCGUAAAAC
rnacentral:rRNA from 1 species